AUGGAGGUGGAGGCCGCGAGGUGCGAGUGCUGCGGCUUCACGGAGGAGUGCACGCCGGAGUACAUCGCGGCGGUGCGGGCCGAGUACAUGGGCCGCUGGGUCUGCGGGCUCUGCGCGGCUGCCGUGGGCGACGAGAUCCGCCGCGCGGGCGCCCGGGGCCAGCGCGCCAUCACCACGGCCGAGGCGCUCGACCGGCACGGCGCUUUCGCGAGGGAGGCGCCGCGUGCGCCCGGGAAGAAGGCGUCCGAGGAGCUCGUGGCCGCCGUGUCGCGCCUGCUCCGGCGCUGCCUCGACUCGCCGCCGGCGUCACCCGCCGCGCCGCAGGGGCGCAAGGUGGCGGCAGGCCCCCGGUGCACGGACGCUGACGACGCCUGA
rnacentral:rRNA from 1 species